UGGGGAAUAUUGGGCAAUGGAGGAAACUCUGACCCAGCAACGCCGCGUGAAUGAUGAAGGUCUUCGGAUUGUAAAGUUCUUUUCUAAGGGAAGAAGAAAGUGACGGUACCUUAGGAAUAAGCCUCGGCUAACUACGUGCCAGCAGCCGCGGUAAUACGUAGGAGGCAAGCGUUAUCCGGAAUGACUGGGCGUAAAGGGUGCGUAGGUGGUUUGACAAGUUGGUAGCGUAACUCCGGAGCUCAACUUCGGAACUACUACCAAAACUGUUGGACUUGAGUGCAGGAGGGGCAACUGGAAUUUCUAGUGUAGCGGUGGAAUGCGUAGAUAUUAGGAAGAACACCGGUGGCGAAGGCGAGUUGCUGGACUGUAACUGACACUGAGGCACGAAAGCGUGGGGAGCAAACAGG
rnacentral:rRNA from 1 species